CGGGUCCAUCAGAUAGUCAGCUGGGUAAGAAGACAAAGAGAGUCCUCCAAGCCCAGUACCUUCUCGUUCCACCGUCGAAUCCUCACAGCUAACGCCCUUCCUUCCAUCCAAAAUGCGCGAAAUAGUACAUCUGCAAGCCGGACAGUGCGGAAACCAGAUUGGAGCCAAGUUCUGGGAGGUGAUCAGUGAUGAGCAUGGCAUCGACCCGACUGGAACCUACCAUGGAGACAGCGACCUGCAGCUAGACAGGAUCAAUGUGUACUACAAUGAGGCCUCAGGUGGGAAGUAUGUCCCCCGUGCCAUCCUGGUGGAUCUGGAGCCGGGCACCAUGGACUCUGUCAGGUCUGGCCCCUUCGGACAGAUCUUCAGGCCAGACAACUUUGUCUUCGGCCAGAGUGGAGCUGGAAACAACUGGGCCAAGGGCCACUACACAGAGGAGCAGAGCUGGUAGACUCUGUCAUGGAUGUAGUGAGGAAGGAGGCAGAGAGCUGUGACUGUCUCCAGGGCUUCCAGCUCACCCACUCCCUGGGUGGGGGUACUGGCUCUGGCAUGGGCACCCUGCUCAUCAGCAAGAUCCGUGAGGAGUACCCUGACCGCAUCAUGAACACCUUCAGCGUGGUGCCCUCUCCCAAAGUGUCCGACACAGUGGUGGAGCCCUACAACGCCACCCUCUCUGUGCAUCAGCUGGUGGAGAACACAGAUGAGACCUUCUGCAUCGACAACGAAGCCCUCUACGACAUCUGCUUCCGCACUCUCAAGCUCACCACACCCACCUAUGGAGACCUCAACCACCUGGUGUCAGCCACCAUGAGUGGAGUGACCACCUGCCUUCGUUUCCCUGGCCAGCUCAAUGCCGACCUCCGCAAACUGGCUGUCAACAUGGUGCCCUUCCCCCGCCUGCACUUCUUCAUGCCCGGCUUCGCCCCCCUCACCAGCAGGGGGAGUCAGCAGUACCGCGCCCUGUCCGUGCCUGAGCUCACCCAGCAGAUGUUCGACUCCAAGAACAUGAUGGCGGCCUGCGACCCUCGUCACGGCCGUUACCUCACCGUGGCCGCCAUCUUCCGUGGUCGCAUGUCCAUGAAGGAGGUGGACGAGCAGAUGCUCAACGUCCAGAACAAGAACAGCAGCUACUUUGUGGAAUGGAUCCCCAACAACGUGAAGACCGCUGUCUGCGACAUCCCACCCCGCGGCCUCAAGAUGUCUGCCACCUUCAUCGGCAACAGCACAGCCAUCCAGGAGCUGUUCAAGCGUAUCUCUGAGCAGUUCACUGCCAUGUUCCGCCGUAAGGCCUUCCUUCACUGGUACACCGGAGAGGGUAUGGAUGAGAUGGAGUUCACUGAGGCUGAGAGCAACAUGAAUGACCUGGUGUCUGAGUACCAGCAGUACCAAGAUGCCACCGCUGAGGAGGGCGAGUUUGAAGAGGAGGGAGAAGAGGAAGCAGCCUAAACCAUCCAGUCACUCAACUGCCAAACAGUCGAUCACUCACCUCCGUCCUGUCCCCAAAGCACAACUUGAUUGAUUUAAAUUAAUGUUAAAGAAAAGGAAACUCCGAUCUGUGAUAAUUAAAUGAAUGUCCUCAAGCAUCUCUUCAGCGGUUCCCUUCAGUCUAAUUAGUAUCCUGUAAGGUUUUCAGGUCUCAUCCUAGAAGUCAGAGGGUAUUCUAACAUGAGGUUUCUUAUGAAAGCAGCAAGCUGUAACUCGAUGUCUAAAUUGAAUUAUGUGAAUAAAUUAACAAUGUGUUCCAA